rnacentral:rRNA from 1 species
GACAGAGGGUGCAAACGUUUGUUCGGAAUUACUGGGCGUAAAGCGCGUGUAGGCUGCUCGGAAAGUCGGAUGUGAAAGCCCUGGGCCUCAACCUAGGAAGUGCAUUCGAAACUUCUGAGCUGGAGUGCUGGAGAGGAAGGCGGAAUUCUCGGUGUAGAGGUGAAAUUCGUAGAUAUCGAGAGGAACACCGGUGGCGAAGGCGGCCUUCUGGACAGCAACUGACGCUGAGACGCGAAAGCGUGGGGAGCAAACAGG